rnacentral:rRNA from 1 species
ACCUACGGGGGGCAGCAGUGGGGGAUAUUGCACAACGGGGGGAACCCUGAUGCAGCGACGCCGCGUGGGUGAAGAAGCGCCUCGGCGCGUAAAGCCCUGUCAGCAGGGAAGAAAAUGACGGUACCUGAAGAAGAAGCCCCGGCUAACUACGUGCCAGCAGCCGCGGUAAUACGUAGGGGGCAAGCGUUAUCCGGAUUUACUGGGUGUAAAGGGGGCGCAGACGGCGAUGCAAGCCAGGAGUGAAAGCCCGGGGCCCAACCCCGGGACUGCUCUUGGAACUGCGUGGCUGGAGUGCAGGAGGGGCA